GGACAUUAAUGUGAUGAAUACAUAGUUCAACUGAUGCUGUGAAGCAUUUUGAAAGAAAAAAAUCUUUCGCUCCUAUCUGAUAUUGUUC
rnacentral:snoRNA from 1 species